rnacentral:lncRNA from 1 species
AAACAAACAAAAAAAAUUAUAUAGUCUCUAACUCAUAUGAGAUUGUAAUCAUUUGGAAAUAUGAGCAAGAAAUAUUUACACUUUGAAAGAGCCACAGAUGGUGAUGUAUCCAACGUAUGAGACACACACCAAGUGCUAUGAGUAUUCAGGGUAGUGAGAUAUUACUGUGUACUAGAGCAGCAAAGACAGAUUUGGGGAAGGACAUAGACUUGAGAUGAGUCUUAAAAAUAAUCUGUACCUGAAUAGAUGAAGAGGUGUGGAGAGAGCAUGCCGAGUACAGCUGCUCAGCAUUUUUGCAUAUAAGCUUUUAACAAUUGCUUAAAGUAUACUCCUGUGAACAAAAUUUGGAGCAUAUUUCUCUCUACCUGAUUUCUCCAGGAUUUGGACACUCUUUAGAAUCCAAUUGAAUGCUAUUAUAGUUUGGAUAUUUGACCCUCCAACCAGCAUGUUGAAAUUUGAUCCACAAUGUUGGAGGUGGGGCCUAAUUGGAGGUGUUUGGAUCAUGGUGGUGGAUACUUCAUGAAUGGCUUGCUACUGUCCUCCUGGAAAUUAGUCAAGGGCCAUUGACUUCCAGACUUUCUUGAUGGAGUUCCACUGCAGCUCUGGCUUAAUUUUCUUCUUCUAUGGCCAGGAAUCCUCCUAGAUGAUGAGAUAGAUGCCAUUUUCUGUGCUCAGCAGCUCUUACCUGGACUUCUCUUCCAGAUGCAGUUAAAGCCCCAAAUCCUAAUAUGAUGCUAUUUGGGAUCUGGAGAUGAAGCCUUUUGAAGCCAUGAAGAGACGUGCCUUGCUCCACCUUCACCUUCGACCAUAAUUGUAAGUUUCCUGAGGUCUCCUCAGCCAUGUGGAACUGUGAACCAAACCUCUUUCUUUUAUAAAUUACUUAGUCUCAGGAAGUAUAGUGGUGUGAGAACAGACUAAUAUAUCAGCCCAAAGGGAGCAUCCUCAACUAGACACCAACCCUGCUGGCACCUUGACCUUGGAUUUUCCAGUCUCUACAAUUCUGAUAAAUAUAUUCUGUUGUUUAAGCUACUCAGUCUUUUGGUAUUUUGUCAUGGCAGCUCUAAUAAACUAUUAGGGGUGGUAGCUCUAUUAAAAUUCCUUUAUCUAAUCACUUUUAAUAGUACAGUCAGGCUUCAUACUGCUGAGAGUAUCCAAACUAGCAUCACAAGGGACACAGCUUUGGCCUUCUCACCUUGUUUUCAAAACUUGUGAGACUCUGCUUGGGCCAGUUUUCAUCUUUCAAGGAAUUUGUGCAUUUCAUGUAAGUUAUUAAAUUUAUGUUUUUUAAAUAGUUUGUAAUAUUUCCUUAUUAUUAUCUAAUGUUUGUAGAACAUUGCUGUUAUCUGUGUUGUCUCACCGUUUUGGUCAUUCUUGCUAGAGAUUUAUUUGUAUUGAUCUUUUUUAAACAAUAGCCUUGGUAUUCACUGAUCUUUCUUUCUCUUUCUUUCUUUCUUUUUCUUUCUUUCCUUCCUUCCUUCCUUCUUUUUUUUUUUUUUUUGAUGGUGUCUGUCUCUGACACUCAGGCUGAAGUGCGGUGGCACUAUCGUGGCUAGCUGCAGCCUCGACCUCUCAGGCUCAAGUAAUCCUCCCACCUCAGUCUCCUGAAUAACUGGGACUGCAGGUGCACACCACAAGCCUGGCUAAUUUAUUUUAUUUUUUGUAGAGACAGUCUUGAUAUGUUGCCCAGGCCCUUGAUAUGCUGGACUCAAGCCAUCUUCUGACUCGGCUGCCUAAAGUGCUGGGAUUACAGGUGUGAGCCAUGGCACCCAGCCUGAUUUGUCUUUAUUGUUUUAAAUGUUUUGUCAAUUUCUUUCACUUUUGCUCUUCUCUUAACUACUUUAUUUCUCCUGCUUGUUUUGGAUUUACUUGAUAUUCACCUUCUAUAUUUUAGUUCAAGGUAUAAGCUUAGGUCAUUGAUUUCAAAUUUCUGUCUUUCUAAUAUAAAUAUUUAGCUGGGGCCUACAAAUAUAUAGAUACGUUGUAUUUUUAGUUUCAUUCAGUUAAAAAUAUUUUCUAAUUUCCUUUUUGUUUUUCUCUUUAGUCUGUGGAUUAUUUACAAAUGUAGUACUAAAUGUUCUACAAGCUAUAUUUCUGUUAUUGCUUUAUAGUUUGUUUAUAUCAAAAUUUGUGUGAUUUCAAUCUGUUUGAAUUUAUUUACAUUAUUGUAUGGUCUAGAAUAUCAGCUAUAUUGGUAAAUAUAUAACAUGUACUUAAAAAAUGUAUAUUAUAACUUUGGUGCAGUGAUCUAUAAAUAUCAAUUAGUUCAAUUUGACUAAUAGUGUUGUUCAAGCCUUGUACAUCUUUAUUACAUUUUAAUGUGCUUGCUACAUUUUAUACAGAGAGAAAAAUGUCAAAAUAUCUUAAUCUAUUGAUUUUUUAAUUUCUCUUUUCUGUUUUAUCAGUUUUUUUCUCCAUGUAUUUUGAAGUUUUUUGAUUGUUAUGUCUUUUUGAUAAAUUGCUCUUUGUAUUAUAGAAUGCCCCUCCAUUUUUAUUCCUGGCCUUAUUCCUGUCUCUAAAACCUACUUUGUCUCUUACUCAUACACUCAUUUUAUUUUUCUUUUGUUUAGUGUUUGCAGGCUAAAAUUUUUCCCAUCAGUUUUAUCUUUAAACUUCCUUUAAUUGUGUUUUGCAUAAAAUUUUUUUUUGUAGAUUAUUUGAAGAUUUUUUCAUAGGAUUUUAUGUGCUUGGUUCUUGGCUUUUGAAUCUAACAGUCUCUCCCUUUUAAUUGGAGUGUUUGUAACAUUUAUAUUUAAUUAUCAGAUUUAAAUUAAUCAUCUUUUAU